GGAUCGCAGGCUGCAACCCGCCUGCGUGAAGUCGGAAUCGCUAGUAAUCGCGGAUCAGCAUGCCGCGGUGAAUACGUUCCCGGGCCUUGCACACACCGCCCGUCACACCAUGAGAGUCGGGAACACCCGAAGUCCGUAGCCUAACAGCAAUGAGGGCGCGGCCGAAGGUGGGUUCGAUAAUUGGGGUGAAGUCGUAACAAGGUAGC
rnacentral:rRNA from 1 species